rnacentral:lncRNA from 1 species
GCUCCAAAAAUACACCUUCCACACAUAACAACAACUUUAAUACUGAGUAUCUGCAAGAUGUCUACGGUGGAUAACAUUAAGCAAAAGGGUGAGAAACAAAUUCAAUAUGAAUGGUGUAAAGAAUGCGAAGGUAGAGAAAUACACAACUUAUCAUACAUCCAAUACAUAAUCAACAAAUCAUAAUCACACAUCCAUUCACAAUAAUAUGCACAUAUAUAUGUAAUGCGACUUACGAUACAAUGUGACACUUAUGCAUGUGGUACCAUCUCAACAUUUGGUUCUCUUUGGAAUCGGGUCCCUCCUUAUGAACCCAUGAGCCCCCAUUUUGAGCUUGGGACAAGCCACUAGUCCCCCCUUCUAAACUAGUUAAUAUGUAUCUUUCAACGACAUGGCACAAUGAUGCAUGUCCAUACAAAUCAAUGCAACAACAAUAAUAACACUUACGGCCUCUUCUAACCAUAAACAACAUGCAUUGACACACAAUAGUAAUCCCUUUUCUGAAUUACUAUCCAUCAAUAACACCAACAAUACAUAAUUAAUCACCAUAUAGUCAUGCAUUUUAUAACAAUAUGAAUCAUAUCCACAUCAUAUAACAACACAAAACAGCAUCAUACGCAUCUCAUACCAUUGCUACAUAUAAACAACAACAGGUAAGUAAGGAAAUUACCAAUGAACAACAAUAAUUCCACCAUAAUUAAUUAAAUUCAUGACAAUUAAUUAACUACUGACACCAAAAUGUUCAAAUAGUAGUCAUACAUCACCCAAACAACAAUAACACCUCAAAAGUCUGAACUGACAACUCAGACCAUGCAACAGGAACGACAAUGCCCCUUCUGACAACAUGACGGGUGAUCCGGCAUCCUGGUGACGCUCGUCACAUGCUUACAACUCCCAUGCCGUCAUCAUAGUGAAAAUCGUCUUGGAAAACCAAGCCUGGAGACCAUGACGAUCUCCCUGUCAUAGAGCUGACGCCCGUCAGCAUCUCAAGGUGCAUGAUGGGUAACUCGUCAUCUGGGUGACGCCCGUCACCCUGCACCAGAAGGAAAAAACACUAAUUCUUCCAUGAGAGUUACCUUGAACUUUGAUUUAUGAUCCCUAAUCAUUCCCACACGCCCAAAAAAUGAUAAUGCAUGUAAUAACAUCAUUAUAACAUACCAAAUCAUUGAAUUACACAAAUUAUUCAUGAACUUCAACACAUUCAUGUUUAUGUUCAAACCUUCAACAACCCCAACAAUGACAUACAAACAUAUACACAUAAACAUAAUCAUAUAUACACAAAUCAAAUCACGAAAUUUAGAUGAACACACCUUUAAUUAUCAAUUUCCAGAACCACAUAUAACAACAACAAUUCAUAAGCAUUUCACAUAAUUCCUAAAGAGAGUAAGAGUAUCUCUUCUCUAUCUUUUCAUGCAAUACAUGCAUAUAGAAGCCCCCUCCCCCCCUUUAUGUUAGGUUCCUUGCAAAAAUCUGAAUUGGUGAUGGUGUGUUCUUCCCUUUCCAAGCCCUAGUCUCAUUUGCUCUUCCAAACUCUAUUUAACGUACUGACAACCCUUAGGUCUCUAAUCCGUUUUUAUCUAAUUUAAUCUUUAGGUAAUUAUACUAAGACCCAAUUCUUUUUAAAAUUUUCACUAUUUCCCUUUUGUUCCUAUUUUCCACCCAUAAACUUAUAUUUCUAUUUAUUUUAAUUAAUUAAUAAAAACAAUUAUUCAUUCUAAUUAUUUAUAAUUAUUCUAAUUCUCCUAAUCCUUCUAUCACCCCAUCAAUGCUCUCACCACACCCUACCACAUAUACAUACCACUCAAUAUAUUUAAUUAAAAAUAUAUCACAUACUAAAUAAUUAAAUAAAAAUACGAAUAAUCUGACUAAAUCAAUUAAUCAAAUCUAGGGGUGUUACAUAGUUGAAGAAGAAGAAGAAGAUGAAAGUGAUACACAGUCUGAUUAUCUGUUGAACACCAACAGUGAAGAUGGUAAUCAUCAAGCGCCAUUACCUCCAAGUCACGUAUAUUGUCUACCACAAUAUAUGACAAACUUGAACUUGAAUGGUGAUGAGUCAUCCUCUAAUAUUUUUUACAAUCCAUAUAUGCGGUUAGAGGGUGAGUUAAAAGUGGGAGACAGGUUCCACACUAAAGAAGAGUGAAUGUGAGCUAUCAAAAAAUUUCACAUGGAGAACUCUGUUGAUUAUACCGUAGAUCACACUAAUGCAAGAAGAUAUGUCAUUCUUUGUCGUAAUGUGCUUUGCAUGUUUCGACUAGCACCGUCUUACAGGAAGAUAAUUGAUUCAUGGGAGAUAAGUUAUAUACAUUUAUCUCACAAUUGAACCGCCACUAUUAUUGCACAUGAUCACCAUAAAUUAAACUCUAAAAUAAUAUGUCAAGACAUUUUGUCUUUUGUUAGCAAGGAGCCAUCAAUGAAGGUAAGUAUACUAAUCUUUCAUAUUGUUACAUGAUAUAAUUAUAAUCCCUCAUACAAGAAAGUGUGGAUUGCAAGAAAAAAUGCUAUUGAACGAGUAUACGAAAAUUAGAAGGAUUCGUACAAAAAAAAAUCCACAAUAAUUGGUGACACUUAAGACAUAUACUCUGGGAACUGUUACAAUUUUGAAGACACGGUCGGCAUAUACGCCGUACAGAACUUGUGUCAGUGGAAAUAUAAUAUUUCAUCGAUUCUUUUUAGGCAUUUCAACCAUGCAUCAAAGAUUUUGCGUUUUGCAAACUUAUUCCUAAAAUUGAUGGAACAUGGUUGUACGGGAAAUACAAGGGCACAUUACUUAUGACAGGGGCACAAGACGACAACAAUAAUAUAUUUCCCAUUGCCUUCGCUCUGAUUGAAGGUGAGACUUUGAGUGGUUAGAGUUUCUUUCUCAAGAAUCUCAUAACAUAUGUUGCUCCACAAUCCAACCUCUGUUUGAUUUCAGACAGACAUGCAUCUAUUGAGAGUGUGUAUAAUAAUCCUGAGAAUGGAUGACAAAAUCCUCCUUCUAGCCAUGUCUACUGCAUUAGACAUAUUGCACAAAACUUCAUGCGAGAAAUCAGAGACAAGAACCUUUGGAAAAAAUGUUGUGAUUGUAGUGUACUCCCUCCGUCCCAUAUUAUAAGCAAAUUUCACCUUUCUAGAUUCAUUAAAUAAUUAAUGUAUCUGGUUUAUUAUAUAGAUCAGAUACAUUAAUUAUUUAAUGAAUCUAAAAAGGUGAAAUUUACAAAUUUCACCUUUCUAGAUUCAUUAAAUAAUUAAUGUAUCUGGUUUAUUAUAUAGAUCAGAUACAUUAAUUAUUUAAUGAAUCUAAAAAGGUGAAAUUUGCUUAUAAUAUGGGACGGAGGGAGUAUGCUUUAAUUCAGCCAUCAUUCCGACACUAUCGUAGGGAAAUUAGAUUGUCAAAUGCGGAUGCAUUAAUGUGUGUGGAUAACAUUCCAUUGGAGAAGUGGAUAAUGGAAUUUGACGAAGGACGCCGAUGGGGCCACAUGACAAUAAACCUUGUUCAGUCCAUGAACAACUUCUUCAAAGACAUUAGAAACCUAUCAAUAAUCGCGUUGGUGAGAGCAAUAUAUUUUAGGUUGGGAUCACUUUUUACAUCCAUAGGCAAAAAAUGGAGUUCGGUGUUACGGUUGAGACAAUUAUUCAGUAAAAGUUGCAUGAAAGUGAUGAAGGGGGAAACUAUCAAAGCUAGCACACAUGGGGUUACAAUCUUUGACCGUCGUAGACACAGUUUUAGUGUAAAAGAAAUAAUGGACCACAAUGAGGGGAGGCCGAAUGAAGACUAUCAGAUCGAACUAAAUAGAGGUUGGUGCGAUUGUGGCAAGUUUCAAGCCUUAUGUAUGUCUUGCUCCGAUGUCAUUGCGACAUAUUCAUAUGCUCGCCAUAACACUUCCAAGCAUGUAUCUGCCGUUUACAAAGUCGCAAAUGUAUUCAAUGUAUACAACAAUAACUUCCCGAUGAUAGUAAAAGGGGACUAUUUACCUACAUAUCAAGGGAACAUAAUUUGAUGCGAUAAAAAUAUGCGACAGAAGAAAAAAUAUCGCUCCAACAGCACAUAUAUUAAAACAAAAAUUGAUAUAACUAAUAAAAUGGUAAUAUUAAAAUAAAUUUGCAUGAUAAUUUUUUUUCUUUAAAUUUUUAUAACCUUAUUAUUUUAUAUAUAUAUAUAUAUAUAUAUAUAUUAAUUUUUGGUUACAACAAAAAUAACAUAAACACUCUAUCAAUAAUUAAGUUAAGAAAGCAUAAAAUUAAUUAAGCUUAAUCUUUAGUAUAUUUAAUAAUCCAAUAAAGAAAAUUUAAAAACACAUUGAAAUAUCAACACCGUUUGAUUUCCAUCAAACAAAAGCACUUGAAAUCUCAACUCCAUGAGACACACAAUUUCACAAAAUCUCAAAUCUCUUAUCCAACCCAAGUGAGAUAACAAAACACAAAGUAUCAUAAAUCACCACCAAUAACAACAAUCCAUCUCAGCAUCUUUACUUCUCUCACCUUAUCCAAAAUCCAUUUUCCCACCACCAAUUUCUCUCCACACAGAAUCUAAAAACCUUCUCUUCUUCUCUUUCCAAUAUCAUCACACAAAUCAAAUCCAUCACACACAAACACCAUUCUUUUUUCCUCACAAAAAAAUGUCUCUCACCAUUCCAACUAACCUCUCGAAACCCACCUCAACCCUAAGACCCAAACUCACCCAAAAACCAAAACUCUCCACCAUCAUCCACUGCAGCACAAACCAAACCCCAAACAAUCAAACCGACCAUGCAAACUCAAAUCUAAAAGCCUUCUCCGCUGCACUAGCCCUCUCCUCAAUCCUCAUCUCAUCCCCACUCCCGGCCGUCGCCGACAUCUCCGGCUUAACCCCAUGCAAAGAAUCAAAACAGUUCGCCAAACGCGAAAAACAGUCAAUCAAAAAACUCGAGUCCUCCCUCAAGAUUUACGCUCCCGACAGCGCUCCGGCGCUGGCGAUAAACGCGACCAUUGAGAAAACAAAGAGAAGGUUUGACAAUUAUGCGAAACAAGGUCUGCUGUGUGGCGCUGACGGGUUACCUCAUUUGAUUGUGAGCGGUGAUCAGAGACAUUGGGGUGAGUUUAUCACUCCGGGGAUUUUGUUUCUGUAUAUUGCUGGAUGGAUUGGAUGGGUAGGAAGGAGUUACUUGAUUGCGAUCCGGGAUGAGAAGAAACCGACUCAGAAAGAGAUUAUUAUUGAUGUUCCACUUGCUUCUAGGUUGGUUUUUAGAGGCUUCAGUUGGCCUAUUGCUGCUUACAGAGAGUUGUUGAAUGGUGAACUCGUUGCCAAGGAUGUUUAGUUUUCUUCUAUUUCCAACAAGGUCCAAUUCAAACUCUCUUUUAAAUUUUGUAUAAUUUGAAAUUGAAAAUUUUGGUCAUGAUGUGUUAAUAAUCUUGAAUUCUUCAAGUUGUCAAACAGAAACUAGUUUUGGUGAGAAUUUUUUAAUUCAAUGAUCUUUUAUUAUUUUUUUAUUUUUUUAUGAACUAGGU